CCCUUAGAUGUUCUGGGCUGCACGCGCGCUACACUGACGCACGCAACAGGUGCCUGCUCCGAGAGGACUGGGUAAUCAUUUGAGUGUGCGUCGUGAUGGGGAUAGAAUAUUGUAAUUAUUACUCUUCAACGAGGAAUUCCUAGUAAGCGCAAGUCAGCAGCUUGCGCUGAUUACGUCCCUGCCCUUUGUACACACCGCCCGUCGCUCCUACCGAUUGAGCGGUCCGGUGAAGACUCAGGAGAUGGGCGCGUGCUUGGUUCGCCAACUGCGCUGCCUGCCAAAUUUGUCUAAACCUUAUCGCUUAGAGGAAGGAGAAGUCGUAACA
rnacentral:rRNA from 1 species